rnacentral:rRNA from 1 species
AAGGAUUUGUGACCAGACUUUUUCUGGGCGGAUCAUCCGGGGUUCUCUCCGGUGCACUUUGCCCAGUAAAGGCCAGCAUCGAUUUUCGGCGGCGGAUAAAAGCAGUGGGAAUGUGGCUCCCUACGGGGAGUGUUAUAGCCCAUUGUAUAAUACGCUGCUGGGGAUCGAGGUACGCGCUUCUGCAAGGAUGCUGGCGUAAUGGUUAUCAAUCA